UACGUAGGGUGCGAGCGUUAAUCGGAAUUACGUGGGCGUAAAGCGUGCGCAGGCGGUGAUGUAAGACCGAUGUGAAAAUCCCCGGGCUUAACCUGGGAAUGGCAUUUGGGACUGCAAGGCUCGAGUGCGGGCAGAGGAGACUGGAAUUCCUGGUGUAGCAGUGAAAUGCGUAGAUAUCAGGAGGAACACCGAUGGCGAAGGCAGGUCUCUGGGCUGACACUGACGCUCAUGCACGAAGCGUGGGA
rnacentral:rRNA from 1 species